UACGUAGGGAGCAAGCGUUGUUCGGAUUUACUGGGCGUAAAGGGCGCGUAGGCGGCAAUUCAAGUCAUCUGUGAAAUCUCCGGGCUUAACUCGGAACUGUCAGAUGAUACUGCUUUGCUAGAGUGCAGAAGGGGCAAUCGGAAUUCUUGGUGUAGCGGUGAAAUGCGUAGAUAUCAAGAGGAACACCUGAGAUGAAGACGGGUUGCUGGGCUGACACUGACGCUGAGGCGCGAAAGCCAGGGGAGCAAACGGG
rnacentral:rRNA from 1 species